GGCCCACACGGUCAUUAUGGCCCAUUGAGAAACAAACAGAGGGCUGGAAUUUUGAGAAUUUGAGGGCCGUGGAAAGCAGUGGAGUUGGGCGGUGUUUGCAGCUCUCAUCGCCGUCUUUAUUGCUGUGGCUGUGUAUUCGAAAACUACCACAUCUUGUCAUUGUGCCAAGUGGAUUGAUGGAUUGUGUAGGAUGCAAGAAGUGUUGUAUGUGGGGAAAGCUUCAGGUCCUUGGUCUGGGCACUGCAUUGAAAAUCCUCUUCUCUGUUGAUGGUCAGGAACACCCAGAUCAGACUGUAAGCAUUUCCUACAGUAAUUCUGAAAUUCCAAAUUAUCUUUAGGAGGCAUGUUUCCAAUUAUUCAGCUGCCAUUGCAAUGGAAUGAAGUGAUUGCCUUGAUGAACUUACUAUCGACUGUGUGUUUGUCAAAUUUGUCCAUGACAUGGGACCUUCAGUUGAAAUGCUUGUGGAAGGACAGAUUUCUUCACCGGGUGCCCCAAAUAGUUUAUGGGAAAGGAUAUGGGCAUUCAUAGUUAAAAAUUGAGGUAAAUAGUAAUUGGUGAGAAUAAAUUUUGAAACAGCUAUACAUUACGUCCAAAGGAUGGGUUAUUAGGAAAGUGCAGUGUGGGUUUUAGAAAGAAUGGCCCCCUGGAAAAGAUAUGAUAGAUGUAUAAAAAUCAUUGCAAGACAUAUGAGGUGAUAAAUUUGUAAUUUUCUGGAUUUGAAAAUUUUGAAAGGUCAGGAGGACGAUACAUUUGGCAUUUUCUUUGAUUUCUUUGUUUCUUACUUCUUUUUGGUUCAGAUUCUGCAUUGCAAAUGUAAGAUCUGUUUAAUUGUGCACACCCCAAGACCCUCCAUGUGCAUAAAAGAAUGAAAAUUUUGAGUGCUAUGCUUGAUGCU